CAAAAAUUAAUGUAUCUAUAUAUACCAAGUGUUCCAAUUGAUAGUGUGAGCGAAUCUCCGAUGUCCACUGAUCCCCGAGCAAACUUGGCGAUACUACAAGGCAAAGGAAAAGAGAGGGGAAGCAUAAAUGCUUAGUAAGUUCAUAUGCAAAUAAUAAGAAAUUAAUAAACUUGUGUGGACAAAUCCUCACAAUAAUUUCUUAAGAUGAUAUAAUCAUUACAUCACAUGCUUACACCUUAUUACUAAUGUUCACAUUAAUCUGUCUACUUGAGUCACUAUCACUAAAUUAUUUCUUUCUCGGGCUACAAAGCUCCGAAUGAAGAACCAUUAAUUUUACCUGAAACUAGACUCACAUAAUUUCUUACCAUAAAAUUUUCAAAAUUUUUGGUUUAGCCAAUUAAUACAUUUUAUUCAUUAAAUUUACCCAUGUUUUGUUGUUCAACAGUUCUGACACUUCAUCACUACAAAUCAAUUUUCUCCUCAUAAAAAAAUCAUAUGAUGUUAUCGUUUAUUUCACUUGAAAAUAGAUUUAUUAAAAAUUUCAAGCAUAUAAAUUAUACUCCAUAAUUAUUUUUCUACAAGUUUUACUAAUUUUUCAAAGUUGGAACAGGGGAUUCCAAAACACAUUCUAACCCUAUCUCACUAAAAUUCAAAUAUCUCGUAAUUCACACUUCUUUUGCAUACUUUGUUUCCUUUAUGGGAAAAAUAGACUCACUAAGCUUUAAUUUCAUAUCUCACCCAGCCUUUAAUUUAAUUUCCACCAUUUUUGUUGAUUUUUCAAAGUUAUACUAAUGAUGCUGCCCACAACUGUUUUAAUGUCAAUUUCACUCAGUCAUUAAUUCUUUGUGUUCACUUUCAUUUAUACACACUUACACCAAAGCAUAUUAUAUCUUGGCAGAUAAUAAUCAAGUGAUCAUAGACACAUCUUACUCGUUUGCAUCCUUAUCAAUAAUGCAUCAUAAUCUGAGCACAUUAUUUAUGAGUCUCGUAUGCAUACCUGUGCCUAGUCAUAAUACUCACAUAUCCUACUCUUACUUAUCUUGAGCAUACUCUUUGAAUUUCCCAUUGAACUACUUGUAAUAUUAGGGAUGUUCGGGAUAUCUCGUACACCUAGUAGGACGCCAAUGCCGUAUCCCAGAUAUGGUCUUACAUGGGAUCACAUAUCGAUGUCGAUGCCAUGUCCCAGACAUGGUCUUACACUGACUCUCCUCUGUCCGUGCCAAUGCCAUGUCCCAGACAUUGUCUUACACUGGCACAACUCACUGCCAUGGUCCAUCCAUGGUCUUUUCCGUCAAUUCAUCACGAGUUGUAGUACAAAUGUACUUGACCUUGCAUUUCUCGCGAUUGAUCCUUCAAUCUAAUCUCGUACUUGCAUAAAGUCAUGAUUAGAUAAAAAAUAUAUAGAAAAUAAUACAUCAUCUAAAUUCAAAUUUAAUAAUCGAUCACUAUAGACUAACCAUAUGAACUUACCUCAACGCGAAUCGAUCAUUUUGAUUGACAUUUCCCCAUACUUGGUCCAAAUCCCGAUUUCUUUGAUCUAAAAUGUCACAUUUCACUUAAUUAUCACUCACGGUACUCAUUUUAAUACAAAAAUCAUACUACGGUAAAUUUACAAUUUUGCCCCUAAACUUUUUUAUAAUUACAAUUUUACCCCUAGGCUCAUAAUAUGAUUUUUUUAUUCAAUUUCCAUAACAUUCAAGGUCAGCCGAACCUUUUUCUCUUCUAAAGCAACUUCAAAUUCUUAUUAUUUCACACUUUUAGGAGCAUUUACAACUUUUACUAAUUAACUCGUUUUAAUCAUUUUCAACUAAAAUCACUUAGCAAAAAUCAUUUUCCUAACCUCAUACACCCUUAUUCUACCAUUAAAUAUCAAAAUGCACAAAUAUCUAGCAUGGGUCAAUUUUUAAACUUCAUUUUUCAAGCAAAUAAAUGGUAAAAAUAGAAAGGUUAAGCUUCUAGGGUCUCAAAAAUAUGAAGAACAUUAAAAACGGGACUCAAAUGCACUUACAAUUGAACUUUGAAAAAGCUUGAAACCCUAGCCAUGGCUUUUUGAAAAUUUCGACAACAUGGAGAAGAGAAUGA
rnacentral:lncRNA from 1 species